GGAGAGGUCGCAUAGUCCGGUCUAGUGCGCGCGACUCGAAAUCGCGUGUGGUUCUGCCACCGGGGGUUCGAAUCCCUCCCUCUCCG
rnacentral:tRNA from 2 species